AGCCAGACUCCUACGGGAGGCAGCAGUGGGGAAUAUUGCACAAUGGGGGAAACCCUGAUGCAGCGACGCCGCGUGAGCGAUGAAGUAUUUCGGUAUGUAAAGCUCUAUCAGCAGGGAAGAAGAUGACGGUACCUGACUAAGAAGCCCCGGCUAACUACGUGCCAGCAGCCGCGGUAAUACGUAGGGGGCAAGCGUUAUCCGGAUUUACUGGGUGUAAAGGGAGCGUAGACGGCGAUGCAAGCCAGAUGUGAAAGCCCGGGGCUCAACCCCGGGACUGCAUUUGGAAGUGUGUGGCUGGAGUGUCGGAGAGGCAGGCGGAAUUCCUAGUGUAGCGGUGAAAUGCGUAGAUAUUAGGAGGAACACCAGUGGCGAAGGCGGCCUGCUGGACGAUGACUGACGUUGAGGCUCGAAAGCGUGGGGAGCAAACAGGAUUAGAUACCCCAGUACAU
rnacentral:rRNA from 1 species